UACGUAGGGGGGCAAGCGUUGUCCGGAUUUAUUGGGCGUAAAGAGCGUGUAGGCGGCCAGGUAGGUCCGUUGUGAAAACUCGAGGCUCAACCUCGAGACGCCGAUGGAAACCAUCUGGCUAGAGUCCGGAAGAGGAGAGUGGAAUUCCUGGUGUAGCGGUGAAAUGCGCAGAGAUCAGGAGGAACACCGAUGGCGAAGGCAGCUCGCUGGGACGGUACUGACGCUGAGGCGCGAAAGCGUGGGGGAGCGAAACAGG
rnacentral:rRNA from 1 species